GCUGUCAUUCCACACAACCACUUGAACAACAUCACAACAGCUAACAUUCCUUGAGUACGUACGAUAUGUGAAGGACUAAGGCUGUUUCUGUGAUCCACACCACUGAGACAGGCUUCCCAGUAGUGACAAGAGAACUCUCCUAUCACAAGAGGCCUCUGAACACUGGUAUAAGAGGCAGAGGGAGAGGGAGAAGCAGGCUCCCCGCUGAGU